AUGGGAUUUAAAGACUUACAUUCUUUCAACUUGGCACUUCUUGCAAAACAGUGUUGGAGAAUGAUUAUCAACCCAGAUUCUAUUUGUGCAAGGAUUCUGAAGGCAAAGUAUUUUCCAAGCACUGAUUUGUUGCAUGCAGGUCCCAAAAAUGGUGCUUCCUUUACUUGGCAGAGCAUCGUUGCAGGACUGGCUACUUUUAAAAGAGGUUUUAUCUGGCGAAUCGGCUCGGGGGAGAAUGUAAAUAUUUGGGAUGACCCGUGGAUUCCCUCGAGUCCGGAUAGGAAAGUAAUAACCCCGCGAGGCCAUACGGUGAUAUCAAGAGUAGUUGAGCUUAUUGAUCCAGUCACCACACAAUGGGAUGAACAGUUGAUUCGAGACAUAUUCUAUCCAGUGGAUGCCAAUAGGAUUUUGCAAAUACCGAUCAACUUUCAGGCCUUUGAUGACUUCAUUGCUUGGCACUUGACUAAACAUGGGAAAUUUUCAGUGAAAAGUGCAUAUAUGGAACAAUGGUCACAUAAGUACAGGAACCAUUCUCUUGGUGAUCUGAUGUCUAGUAGUACCCUGCAAUUAGCGAUUUGGAAGCAGCUAUGGUGUUUGCAAGUGCCCAGGAAGAUCCAAAUAUUCUGUUGGCGUGCUCUUCGAGGAAUCGUCCCAUUAAAAUCUGUACUUGCUAAUAGACAUAUUCCCAUCAGUGGGGAAUGCCCGAUCUGCAACAGGGAUGCUGAAGAUAUGCGACAUAUGCCGUUCCAGUGUGAUAUUGCUAGGAAACUAUGGACCGGGUUGGGACUCAUGGAUCGCAUAAACCACGCCGUGCUAGUGGACAGAUCGGGAUCGGUGGUCUUUGAGUUUCUUCUCCUGGAACCUGAUUCACCCUUGAGUAUCAUGCCAAGUUUAAAUUACAAGGAAGUGAUUGCAGCGACCUGUUGGUACCUCUGGUGGCUACGGAGGUGUCAUACUCACCAUGAUUCAUGCCCCCGGCUACCACAUGGACUACCUCAAUUCUGUCAAUUGUUGCUAACUGUGUAA
rnacentral:rRNA from 1 species